CUUGGUCAUUUAGAGGAAGUAAAAGUCGUAACAAGGUAACCGUAGGUGAACCUGCGGUUGGAUCAUUAGUAAAUUUCGACGUUCGGUUGGUGUGGUUGCAAAACCGCCUAGCCGACUUCCAUGGCUUUGGCUUCAACGCAUUGUUUGUUAGCCCGGGUUUCCUUUUUUGGAUCAACCUGGGGGUCAUCAUAUCGCUCUGCGUUCCAUGCCAUUCCAUGGUAGCGUCAAAACUCCUAUGUGCAACGUUUGGGGUUUGGUUGGAAAGCACGAGGUUUUUACUUCAUGCCGAAAGCCAUUUCCCAUUCCACUAUUUUAUAAUUUGUCUAACUUCAUUUAAUAUAUAAUAUUAAAACAGCUUUUGGCAACGGAUCUCUUGGCUCUCGCAACGAUGAAGAACGCAGCGAAAUGCGAUACGUAGUGUGAAUUGCAGAAUAUAGUGAAUCAUCGAAUCUUUGAACGCACCUUGCGCUCCCUGGUAUUCCGGGGAGCAUGCCCGUUUCAGUACCAUUAAAUUCUCACAAGCUCUCUUUGCUUUGUUAUGAAGCAAUUUGAGCCGGUGGAUAUGGGUGCUUUUUGCAUGGCACUUUCGGGUGUUUGUUGCAAAUCGCCUGGAAUUCAUUUGCGUGCUGCAGUUCGGCUCUUUUGCUGGUCGAUCAAGUGCAACAGAUUUUUCUAUUCACUUGACAACGGUAGGGGUAGCAGUCCUGCUUGGUAUGCAGAAUACAAUUAUACCAGUUGUCGUUCUUUUAGAGCUGCAUCUGUUUAACUUGGUCUGAAAUCGGGUAAGAAAACCCGCUGAACUUAAGCAUAUCAAUAAGCGGAGGA
rnacentral:rRNA from 1 species